rnacentral:lncRNA from 10 species
GAAAUAUACCCAGAAGUGAACAGCUGGAUCAAAUGGAGAUACACACAGAAGACGGACAUAGAGGGGAGGUGACGUGAAGGUGGAGGCAGAUAUGGGAUUUGUGACCACGAGCCAAGGAAGCCAAGGAAUGUGGACAGCCACCAGGAGCUGGAACAGGCAGGGAAGGGUUCUUCCCUAGAGUCUCCAGAAGCCUAGCCUGCUGAUACCCUGAUUUCAGACUUCUGGUCUCCAGAACUGUGAGAGAAUACAUUUCUGUAGGUUGGUUUUUGUUGUUGUUUUAAAACUUUUAUUGUUUUUAGCAAUAAUCAUGUGUGUUCAUUUUAGGAAUAUGGAAUACACAAGUAAGCAGAUAAAAAAAAUCUUUUAUAAUCCUCUGUGGAGAGAUUGUACCUUUUGUCUUUCACCCUUCACGAGUUUUUAUGUGCAUAUAUGUGAUAUCCAAAUGUACUCUUACCUUUCAAAAAUGUUAUUCACAAUUGGGCAUGGUGGUAUGUGCCUGUAGUCCCAGCUACUGGGAAGGCUGAGGCAGGAGGAUCGCUUCAGCCCAGGAGUUUGAGGCUGUAGUAUGCGAUUAUCACAUCUGUGAAUAGACACAGCACUUCAGCCCGGGCAACGUAGCAAGACCCUGUCCCUAAAAACUAAAAAAUUAAAAUGAUAUUAACAUAUUACUUAGUAACCCUUUUUUCAUUUUAUAUCCUAUCAGGAACCUCUUUUUUUUUUUUUUUUUUUUUUUUACAAAUGAGUAAAUCUCUUCUAUAAAAGAGAUUUGAAGAUUGGUUCAAAUAUGGUAAACAAUGAGAUAUGGGUAAAUGAUGCAUCUGAAGCCACUAACAGCAACAGGUUAAAAGUAGAAAGAUGGACAAAGGUA